rnacentral:lncRNA from 1 species
AUGGACAUCUUCAGCAAAAGGAUGAGUAGCAUGGCCCCGAGUUCUACUGCCGUCAGUGCAAGGAACACCGUUUCAGAAAGAACUGUAAAAACUGAAUUGUGUAGACACUCUAUUACUCUGAGGAAAAAAAAAAGUUUGCAUUUGGAGAUCAGUAUAGGAAGCCACUGUCUUUAUACAUGGCUUAGCAUCAGUGUUGCUGAAGGCAAUGGGAAACAGAA